rnacentral:piRNA from 1 species
CCCAGGUGUGUUUCCUAAGGACCAGGUCUGC